UGUGGGAAAACUUCUGCAUUUAUUGUUUUUAUGUAUUUCUUAACUUGUGCUGUAAUCCUUCUCCUCUGAGCAUAUUUUGCAUUGAAUUUGGACAUUGUUGGAAUUAAUAAAUAAAAAGUGUAUUUGCUUCAGAAUAUAUAACUUAGAUAAUCGCACUGUUAUCGAACAGUCGAAUACUUGCAAUUGCAUGAUCACUGGAGAACCUUAAAUUUCCACUCAGCUGCUGGAAAAGAAAAGGGCGAAUAGAAACAAAAAUUUGAAAAUGGCGGCCACGGUCGCUGUGUACGUACGUCAUCGGCUAAAAGUAUAGCUGCUAUUAUAAGGAGUUCAGGCGGGGCAACACCUGUCACAGUUAAUGCGUAUGCGUGUGCAGCGUCGAUCCAGAUAGAACCCGGCCUUCAAAGUCUAUCUCGUGAUAACUUUAUGGGACCCUUGGAUUUUCGGUUUUCGAUACUGCUAGGAUAUAUAUCGUUUAGAUUUUCUUCGCCUAAGCACAGCCAGCAAAAUCGUAGGCUCACAACAGCUGACCCUUUCCCACGUGUACGAUUCAGCCCUUGUCCGGAAAGCAACACAAAUCAUGCUUGACCCCACCCAUCCACUCAACCCCCGCUUCGAGCCUAUGCCCUCAGGACGGAGAUUGAGGGCCCCUCUUGCGAAAAAGAACGUUUAUAGAAGGUCAUUCAUUCCAUCGGCCAUCUCUGCUCUGAACAAACAAAAAACUGUUAUCAUGUAGUCAUGGGAACUGGUGUAUUGUCCUUUUGAUGCGGGCGUGUGUGUGGGUGUGUGUGUGUGCUCACUUCUGCCAUUGCUGAUGUUAUUGUUGAUGCUUUUGAUUUUCUCUCUGACUGCUUGCAUGCUGGAAGACACAUCUCCUUUGCUGGACAAUAAAGUUAUCUUUAGAACGCUAUGGUGAGGCGAUCGAGUUGUUACAAAUAAGUAUUUGUCUUGUAGUCCUGAGCCACACUAUAAUGAUAUUAAUAUGAUUUGGGCAGCCUCAGGCAAUCGUUUUGAAAUAAUGCGCGUUUGUCUGGCGUGUUAAGCCACCCGUGCCGUUGUAGCAAGUGACACAACUUUAACUCGUACUUAUGUUGUGCGUUGUCCGUCUCCUAAAAGUGCUCGUUGUCUUGUAUUUUCGAUCCGGUCAUUUACAAGAAGAGUAUUUUCAAGACUUCUAGCAGCUCCAGAAAAUGAUCGUAGGAGAGGAAGAAGAUUUAACCGUCUUAAAAUCGUUUUUUGGUUGCGCAACAGACUCCAACUUCCCCACGGUCGCCAUGUUUAAACUUUGGAAGGUCAUGGCCAAAGCAGUUCCACAUUCAAAACUCAAUUGAUGUGUUUCAUGAUAAUAUUUUAUGAUAAUUGGCUAUUAAAUAAAGUUUACAUUUUAAAGUGUAAUUCUUAAGAAGAUAUUCUUAAAGAGCGAAAGUUUCUUUGAAGUUAAAAUUUUGUGCAGUCUAUGAAACAUGUCUGCUACCAUUAGCAUUCGUGGCUGGAAUAUUUCAUGAUGUCAAAUCACUCAAAGCGACGGCAAGUAACAAGGUUUACAAAGGAAUCUGCAGGCUCGGCUUCUGCCUCUUCAUCAAACCGUCACCAAGGAUACAUUGCUGAUGGCAGUCAGUAUGGAGAAAAAGCAAAGUCUGUUGUUCAAGAUAUGGAUGAUCCCUGGUCACCAACAACAAUGACAGCAUUUAAGCUGCUGAUGUCAGCACGACUGUGUGCAGCACUUUGGAACAUUGUUACUGACUGUGAUGAGACCUAUAACUACUGGGAAUCAGCACAUUAUCUGCUGUAUGGUUAUGGCUUUCAAACCUGGGAGUAUUCACCUGUUUAUGCCAUUCGAUCCUAUGCUUACAUCCUGCCAUAUCUAAUUCCUAUGAGAUUGUUUGAGAUCUUUCUCACCAACAAUAAGAUUCUCAUUUUUUACCUGCUGCGAUGCUGUCUAGGAACAGUUUGUGCUGCCUGUGAAGUUUACCUUUACAAGGCUGUGAAUCAAGCUGUUGGGACCAAUGUGGCACGCCUGAUGCUGUGGUUCCUGCUGCUGAGUACAGGCAUGUUCAUUGCAUGCACAGCAUUUCUUCCCAGCUCCUUCUCUAUGUAUCUCACCAUGGUCGCUGUGGCUUCUUGGUUGACUGGCAAAAAUAAUGUGGCUAUUCUGGCUGUAGCAGCAAGUACCAUCAUAGGAUGGCCUUUUGCAGCUGCAUUAGGGCUUCCUAUUGCCUUUGACGUAAUCUUCAGACAAAAACAGGUUCUGUACUUUGGGCUCUGGUGCAUAAUUUCGGCUGUUGUUUUUUUACUGCCAGUAGUAUUGAUCGACACUCACUACUAUGGAAGGCUUGUGAUAGCUCCUCUUAAUAUCAUCUUUUAUAAUGUCUUCACUAGCCAUGGACCUGAUCUUUAUGGAGUGGAACCCAUGUCCUAUUACAUCUUGAAUGGUUUUCUCAACUUUAACAUUAUUUUCUUGGCAGCAUGUGUUUCUCUUCCAGCAGUGAUUAUAGGAGCUUGGGUUAUGAGAUUGCCUGCCAACAAAAGAUUUCCAGUCUGGUUGAUUUUGGCACCCAUGUACAUCUGGAUUUUGAUCUUUUUUACUCGUCCACACAAGGAAGAAAGAUUCCUGUUCCCAAUCUAUCCUUUUUUCGCACUGGGUGGUGCAGUGUUUGUUGACAUUGUACAGAAAUUGUGGAGUUAUAUAAUGCCGGAGGCUGUACGUGCUCGCUACACAGAAAGCAGUAAUAUCAUCUCCAUCUUCACUGGCAUUCUCUUCUCUUUGCUGUGCUUGUCACGCUCAGUGGCCCUGUACCAAGGUUAUCAUGCAUCCAUGGACAUUUUUGUGGAACUUCACAAAGUGGCCAAUGAUCCCAAAGUGCAUACAUUACCUUUUGACAAGCAUGUCAAUAUCUGCAUGGGAAAGGAUUGGUAUCGGUUCCCCAGCAAUUUCUUCCUUCCAUCUGAUAGGUGGCACUUGCAGUUUAUCAAGUCAGAGUUCAAGGGUCUUCUGCCAAAAGCUUAUGAACCUUGGCCUAAUGGAACACGACUUAUUCCAUCAAACAUGAAUGAUCUUAACAAGGAGGAACCAUCAAGAUAUGAAAAACUCAAGAGGGUCUGAACAAAGGCAGACAUGGUGAAAAGCAGGAACAGAGGAGGCCAUAAAUCAGCCGUGGUGCAGAUUGACAUCAGCCGAUGUCAUUAUCUUGUUGACCUUGAUGUGCCAACUGAAAGCAGUUUAGAGCCACGGUAUGCAGCUUUGGAAGACUGGACAGUGGUGGCAAGUGCUCCCUUUCUGGAUGCUGGGAG
rnacentral:misc_RNA from 1 species